GACGAACGCUGGCGGCGUGCCUAAUACAUGCAAGUCGAGCGGAACUGGGGGGGCUUGCUCCUCCCAGUUUAGCGGCGGACGGGUGAGUAACACGUGGGCAACCUGCCCUGCAGAUCGGGAUAACUCCGGGAAACCGGUGCUAAUACCGAAUAGUUUGGCGCCUCUCCUGAGGCGCCACGGAAAGACGGUUUCGGCUGUCACUGCAGGAUGGGCCCGCGGCGCAUUAGCUAGUUGGUGGGGUAACGGCCCACCAAGGCGACGAUGCGUAGCCGACCUGAGAGGGUGACCGGCCACACUGGGACUGAGACACGGCCCAGACUCCUACGGGAGGCAGCAGUAGGGAAUCUUCCGCAAUGGACGCAAGUCUGACGGAGCAACGCCGCGUGAGUGACGAAGGUUUUCGGAUCGUAAAACUCUGUUGUGAGGGAAGAACACGUACCAACUAACUAUUGGUACCUUGACGGUACCUCACCAGAAAGCCACGGCUAACUACGUGCCAGCCGCCGCCGUAA
rnacentral:rRNA from 1 species